rnacentral:misc_RNA from 1 species
AAAAAACCUACUAAAAUCUCUUGCUCUUCAUAUUCCCCAAAGAAAAAAUUGUCCUAAAAUUUCCCAAAGAUUCUUCCUUUAAGAAUCUUUUUAUCACUUGUUAAACUUCCAAAAAUUUGUUUUUUAUAGUUUUAAAACUCAAGAUUUAGCUGUGGGGUUGCUGGGAAUCCAUUGAAGAAGCUAUGGUGAAGGAGGAUAGCAAUGUUUUGGACCUGUUCUUGAAAAUUGGGUUGGAUGAAAAAACUGCUAAAAAUACUUUGGCAAACAAUAAAGUCACCACUAAUCUCACUGCUGUUAUUCACGAGGCAGCUGUGACAGAUGGUUGUGACCGAGCUGUGGGCAACCUGUUGUAUACGGUUGCUACAAAAUUUCCAGCCAAUGCACUUAACCAUCGGCCCACAUUGCUUCAGUACAUUGUAUCUACAAAGAUUAAAACCCCUGCGCAGUUAGAAGCUGCAUUUGCCUUUCUUGCUUCGACCGCCUCUGAAAAUCUGAAGGUCCAUGAUUUUGAAGAGGCUUGUGGUGUUGGAGUUGAGGUAUCCAAGGAUGAUAUUGAACGUGCUGUCAGUGAGGUCUUUGAAGAGAAGAAGACCAAUAUACUAGAACAGCGUUAUAGAAUCAAUGUUGGUGAACUCUUUGGUCAUGUGCGGAAGAAGUUGCCGUGGGCAGAUCCGAAAGUGGUCAAGGAAGUAGUUGAUCUGGAGCUGUAUAAAUUACUUGGGGAAAGAACUGCCGCAGAUAAUGAAAAGCCUGUUAAAAAGAAGAAAGAGAAGCCUGCAAAAACUGAGGCUAAAGCAAAAGUUGAGGAGACCUCUGCACCUAAGCAGUCUGAAGAAGAACUAAACCCAUACUUGAUCUUCCCCACACCGGAGGAAAAUUUUAAGGUGCAUACAGAAGUAUAUUUCAGUGACCGGCCUGUGCUCCGAGCGUGUAAUUCCAAAGAACUACUUGAAAAGCAUUUGAAAGUGACUGGAGGAAAAGUUCUGACGCGCUUUCCACCUGAACCUAAUGGAUUCUUACACAUUGGACAUGCGAAGGCUAUGUUUGUGGACUUUGGUCUGGCAAAAGAAAGAGGUGGUGGCUGUUACUUGAGGUUUGAUGAUACCAACCCUGAAGCUGAGAAGAAAGAGUACAUCGAUCAUAUCAAAGAAAUUGUUGGGUGGAUGGGAUGGGAGCCUUUCAAGAUCACUUACACUAGUGAUUAUUUCCAAGACCUUUAUGAGCUGGCGGUAGAGUUGAUAAGAAGAGGCCAUGCAUAUGUUGACCACCAGACAGCUGACGAGGUAAAAGAAUAUCGGGAGAAGAAGAUGAACAGCCCUUGGAGAGAUAGGCCUAUAGAAGAGUCCUUAAGAUUGUUUGAUGAAAUGAAGAAGGGGAUGAUUGAUGAAGGCAAAGCGACAUUGAGGAUGAAACAGGACAUGCAGAAUGACAAUUUCAAUAUGUAUGACCUCAUUGCAUACCGUAUCAAGUUCACUCCUCAUCCGCAUGCAGGGGAUAAAUGGUGCAUCUACCCAAGUUAUGAUUACGCCCAUUGCAUUGUUGAUUCUUUGGAAAAUAUCACUCAUUCGCUUUGCACCCUGGAGUUUGAAACCCGCCGUGCAUCAUAUUACUGGUUGUUGGAUGCCUUAAGCCUUUACCAGCCUUUUGUUUGGGAAUACUCACGGUUGAAUGUGUCUAACACUGUGAUGUCAAAGCGUAAAUUGAACCGUCUUGUAACAGAGAACUGGGUUGAUGGCUGGGAUGAUCCUCGUCUCAUGACAUUAGCAGGAUUGCGACGUAGAGGGGUAACUUCAACAGCAAUAAAUGCUUUUGUUCGUGGGAUUGGAAUAACUAGAAGUGACUCUAGUAUGAUACAGCUAAGUCGCCUGGAAUACC